rnacentral:rRNA from 1 species
AUUGAACGCUGCGGCAGGCUUAACACAUGCAAGUCGGGCGAGCGGCGGACGGGUGAGUAAUGCUUAGGAAUCUGCCUAUUAGUGGGGGCCAACAUCUCGAAAGGGAUGCUAAUACCGCAUACUAAUAGAUGAGACUAAGUCGGAUUAGCUAGUUGGUGGGGGAAAGGCCUACCAAGGCGACGAUCUGUAGCGGGUCUGAGAGUAUGAUCAGACACACUGGAACUGAGACACGGCCCAGACUCCUACGGGAUGCAGCAGUGGGGAAUAUUGGACAAUGGGGGGAACCCUGAGCCAGCAAUGCCGCGUGUGUGAAGAAGACCUUAUGGUUGUAGAGCACUUUAAGCGAGGAGGCGUUACUCUCAGAAUAAGCACCGGCUAACUCUGUGCCAGCAGCCGCGGUAAUUC